rnacentral:rRNA from 1 species
UUCGUCACACUAUCAUUAACUGAAUCCAUAGGUUAAUGAGGCGAACCGGGGGAACUGAAACAUCUAAGUACCCCGAGGAAAAGAAAUCAACCGAGAUUCCCCCAGUAGCGGCGAGCGAACGGGGAGGAGCCCAGAGCCUGAAUCAGCAUGUGUGUUAGUGGAAGCGUCUGGAAAGGCGCGCGAUACAGGGUGACAGCCCCGUACACAAAAGCGCAUGUGCUGUGAGCUCGAUGAGUAGGGCGGGACACGUGGUAUCCUGUCUGAAUAUGGGGGGACCAUCCUCCAAGGCUAAAUACUCCUGACUGACCGAUAGUGAACCAGUACCGUGAGGGAAAGGCGAAAAGAACCCCGGCGAGGGGAGUGAAAAAGAACCUGAAACCGUGUACGUACAAGCAGUGGGAGCCCC